rnacentral:tRNA from 7 species
GCACCGGUAGCUCAGCUGGAUAGAGCAACUGGCUACGAACCAGUAGGUCGGGGGUUCGACUCCCUCCCGGUGCACCA